UGGACACAACAACCCGACUGAUCAAUUUUGUAUCACAGCCAGAGAAGAUGAGAAUGUACAACAUGCACUCUGGCCCUUGAAGCAGCUGGUGCCAGAUGCCGUGGCUGAGACAAGGAUGAAGGGUCCCUCGUGUUGAGCUCCUUUCGACUACAUCUGACCUGUAUUUAUCUUUUGUACAGGCUGUGCCCAUGCCCUGAUGGCCGUUGCAAAAUUCUUACUGAAGCUCAAAGUCUUGGUGAAAACUGGGAGACGUGGCAAUCAAGUAUCACCAGAAUGGGGUCAAGAUGGCAAACCUACUGAUGAGGAAGAACACAGGAGCUAGGAGAGGCUGCAGCGGUUUGGUUUUGCCUGAGCCAUCUGGAAAGGGAUCAAAGGUGGCCUUCAAGAGAUCAACUGUGUCCUUUACAACUCAGCUUUGGGUGCUUGGUGGGGACAGAGUGA